GGAGGAACCUCUGGAGAGAACCGUUUAAUCGGUCGCCGAAGGAGCAAGCUCUGCGCAUAUGCAGAGUGAAACUCUCAGGCAAAAGGACAGAGGAGUGAAA
rfam:Vibrio cholerae O1 biovar eltor str. N16961 chromosome I, complete sequence.